GACGAACGCUGGCGGCGUGCUUAACACAUGCAAGUCGAACGGAAAGGCCCUGCUUUUGUGGGGUGCUCGAGUGGCGAACGGGUGAGUAACACGUGAGUAACCUGCCCUUGACUUUGGGAUAACUUCAGGAAACUGGGGCUAAUACCGGAUAGGAGCUCCUGCUGCAUGGUGGGGGUUGGAAAGUUUCGGCGGUUGGGGAUGGACUCGCGGCUUAUCAGCUUGUUGGUGGGGUAGUGGCUUACCAAGGCUUUGACGGGUAGCCGGCCUGAGAGGGUGACCGGCCACAUAGGAGAAGGGGAACCGCCCAGGCCCCAAGGGGGGGGAGGAGGGGAAAAAAUAGCACAAGGGGCGGAAGCGUGGUGGAGAAACGCCGGGUGGGGGAAGACGGCCUUGGGGUUGUAAACCGGUUUAGCCUGGGACGAAGCGUGAGUAGGGGUAAUGGGAAAAGAGGCACGGGCAAACUACGU
rnacentral:rRNA from 1 species